rnacentral:rRNA from 1 species
GAUCUGGCUCAGGAUGAACGCUGGCGGCGUGCCUAACACAUGCAAGUCGAACGGAGCUGCUUUGAUGAAGUUUUCGGAUGGAUUUAAAACAGCUUAGUGGCGGACGGGUGAGUAACGCGUGGGUAACCUGCCUCACACUGGGGGAUAACAGUUAGAAAUAGCUGCUAAUACCGCAUAAGCGCACAGUUCCGCAUGGAACGGUGUGAAAAACUCCGGUGGUGUGAGAUGGACCCGCGU